GAUGUGUUAUGCAGGGGGGAGGCACGUGAGUAAGAGGGAGGAACAGUGCAGCAUGGAGGUACAACAGACUGCUGCAGCAGCGCAGAAAGAUGAACGCGAUGGUUUAGGGAUAUUAAAUCGGGUCGGGCGUGGAGAGCAAAGCGAAGGGAGUCACGGCGCUUUAUCCUCCACGACGCCCGUGUCACUCCCAACCGCACCCCCACAUGAACGCAACGGCUCCAGCGCGGCAUGUGGUCGUCCCAGGUGUCCAGAUUCCUCGGGCACCGCGGUCCCCACCCCCUCCGACCCCCGUACUCUUCCCCCCUACAACUCGCUGAUGGAACGAACGUGGAGGGAUGGGCGCAGAAAGCAAAGUUUGGAAAGGCUAAAUUGGAUCACUUGGACAUAGCCUUUUCCAUCCAUCGCCAUCCAUACGGGAGUAAACGUUCCAGGCGUGGAGCAAUGAGCGUCAAGGAGACGAAGCUGGGCGGACUCUCCGGAAACAUUUAAAUGACAGAAUAAUUAAAUGCGAAUGCUUCACGAUCCCUAUCAAACGAAAGCACCCGGCCGUCACCGAUUUCGCAAAGGGCUUUCAGUGCUAGUCAUGGGCCUGGUGAUGAGGGCAAAAUGCAAGGCUGCAUAUGGGAUGCAUGCAUGCUCUCACCAUAUCCCGGACAGCUGCACCCUAUCAGCUGAGCUGCAUGUGACAUGUGAGAUAAGGGAGCCGUAAGAUAUUGGAACCACCCACAUCUACUUGGACACGGUGAUCAAAUGGAGGAGCUGUCAGUGCAAGCUCACACCGCCAACCUUUUCCGAUCUAGUUUCUUGCUUUUUCUUUUUCAUGGUUUGCAUCCGUAUUUAUCACCACCUCCGAUGACUAAGAAAAUAUUGGAUUCAUAGGCAUUGACAUUGGAGGUACUUGCUGUCCUGGGACGGCAGAAUACGU